GACGUAGGAGGCGAGCGUUGUCCGGAUUCAUUGGGCGUAAAGAGCGCGCAGGCGGCUUGGUAAGUCGGAUGUGAAAUCCCGAGGCUCAACCUCGGGUCUGCAUCCGAUACUGCCCGGCUAGAGGUAGGUAGGGGGAGAUCGGAAUUCCUGGUGUAGCGGUGAAAAUGCGUAGAGAUCAGGCAGAACACCUGGGGGCGAAGGCGGCCAGCUGGGGCCGUCCCUGACGCUGAGGCGCGAAGGCGUGGGGGAGCGAACGGGG
rnacentral:rRNA from 1 species